rnacentral:rRNA from 1 species
CAGGGAAUCUUCCACAAUGGGCGAAAGCCUGAUGGAGCAACGCCGCGUGUGUGAUGAAGGGUUUCGGCUCGUAAAACACUGUUGUAAGAGAAGAAUGACAUUGAGAGUAACUGUUCAAUGUGUGACGGUAUCUUACCAGAAAGGAACGGCUAAAUACGUGCUAG